AUGGGAAUAUUUUUAACACUUUGUUUUCCUGUGCAGAAACACAAUACCAGUUUUUGCAGAAAUGUGUCUCACUCUGUGACUCCAAAGCCCUCCUCAGUCCUUCCCUCAGAGGGACACAUUUGCUGUUUCUCCCACAAGCAGAUGUUGUGGAUGAGGUGAUAGACUCCUUGGCAAGAACGAAAGGUGUGAUGAAACCUCCCUGCUCGGAAGGGUCUCCGUGGAGGUGUCCUCAUUUCACAUGCUGGGUUUCGCAUGCAAGGAAGCCAGGGAGUGAAGGAGCUAGAGAGAGGCAGGCAUGUGUGUGGACAGUCGCUGGAGCCGCAGCUGUCAGACUGGCACGGGAACGCCAGUGUUGAGUGUUCAGAUUCCACACGUAUGUCUGGGCUCGCUCACAGCAUGGCCAAGUGUCUGCAGUGCUGGUCCUGACCCUUCCAGAGCAGCAGUGGACAGAUGAGAUAAGACUGUUUCAGAAACAAAGAUGGCCACAGCCUUCCUAACAAGGAGGUCAUCUGGCCAUGUCUGUAUUGUAACUGGCAAAAGGCUUCAAGUCAGAUUGAUGAUCAAGAAAAGUCAAAACCCCAGCCCAAGAUUGAGAAAGCAGGUGGUGGUUCCAAGCUUUUAAGAAAUUAUUGAAGCUCUCCAUCCUGUUCUGUGAGUGUGUCUUCUCUUUCUCCUUCACGUCAUAGCUAUCUAUAACCCACCGUUCAUCUCUGCUCUUGCAUAAAGAUGACCGAUGGCGUCCAAAGCCAAGUGGCUUCACCAGCUGACAAGCCACCCUCCUGCAGCCUGAGUUUCACACUCCACUGGGUUCGUUGUCAUGUGGUGUUUGAACGGUUAAGCCCUUGCAGUAUUUCAGGGAUGGGGCAGAAAAUAUCGGAUGCACAUAGCAGAGCCAUUGGUGGUAUUUACAGCUUUGCUUUGUACUCCUCACUGUUUCUGCCUAUGCAAAAUAUCCAUGUUUCCUUUGAGAAAUCUGUUGUGGACUGAAAGUGCUGCUGGCUGUGAAAUUUAAUAAAAUGUGUAUGUUUUGCUAGAAAAUUAUUUCUUGGACAAUAGCAAUAGUCAUUGAUCUCUAAAUCCUGGCUUCUAACAGUGGCUGAGGACUUAGCAGCCCAUUUCUUGGCCCCUCAGUGCUUUAAAGUGUAAGUAGCACUGCAUUUGAUGAUGUUGAAUAUGACUCUGGCGAAUCGUAGGAGGCGCUUGUGAGGAGAUGCUUGCUUCAGUGUAAAAGAUGCUCAUGGCCUGAGUCAGUUGAGUUUUCUUUGAAGAAACCACUUUAGAGUGAAAUAUCCAGGGUUUCCCCGCCCCUGACAUGUCCAGCCUGCCAAGGCAGCACACAGCCCCAUAAGUCCACUUUGUGUGGGUGAGAUUUCCUCCUGCAUGAUGACCUCAUCACUGUCUCUGCUGUCUCUUGUCCCACAGCCUCCCUCCCUCUUCCCUCCUCCUCUGCCCUCGCCCCUCCCCCUCCCCUUGCCCUCUUCCUCCCCCUCCUCCUCCCUCCUCCACUUCCUCCUUCUCUUCCAUCCCUUCUCUGCCCUCUUUCUCCCCGUGCCUAUUGAUCCCACAUAGGCUCAUUCUGGGCACGGGCUAAAGGCUUUGGUGCAUUGCAGCAUUUUCUCCCAGCAGCUGUGUGAAAGAUGCAUUUUCUAAGCGAAGGAGAAUUCUCUCAAGAGCGUGCAUACUCGUGCCAUAUAUUACUGCUUUGGGUCAUAUAGAAUGGUCUUCCUCCGCACUAAAAUGGGUGUCUUGCUUUGGUACUUACAACAGUCUACUCCAGGCACCCAGUCCUUACAGACCAAGGAAGAGCAUAGUGAUGCCUGUUGGAAUUGCAGAUGCAUUCUGGCCUUCUCCCCCGUCCUGAAGCAUUUUCUUCGAGGAAGGCGUUUAGAACAUUAGGUAGUCUGCUGAGGUUGUUGGCCCAGCUCCAUACACCCAGUAGAACAGCGGAACAACUCAUGCUUCAUGCUGCCAAGCUGCUGUACUUCAAAGGAAACAGAUCCUAGCCCAUUCCCGCACCCCUGCUUCCACACUCCACACUUCACCCCUCUGCUUUUCUCUGACCCGCCCCUGGCCUUGUAAGACUCACCGUAAGCCAAGUCCAGGGUGCCUGUGGCCUGCGACUUGAUUCUUCCCUUUAGGAUUCAGCAAGUUAAUGAGUUCCCCGCUACAGAAGUUAAGACUUUGACUUGAUACCUCUUGGUAUAUCAAAAAGGUAUUCAUCCAGAACGUACCAAAUGUUCUGAAAGACCUGCUCUUCACUCCGGUUUUCCCUAGCGUGUUGCUGGCAGGGCGUCUUUAAAAGCCAUCUACCUGAGUUGACGCUAAUACUUGUCACCACCUGGAAUGUAGUUAUUGGUCGGCAGGCUGAACAUACUCCAGAUUCCCCAGAGGCCACUUUUGUAGCCCAGCGAUGCAUCUGAGCCUCUCUGCGUGGUUUAUGCUUGAAAAAUAGAUAAUGCUUUUAGAUGGCUCACUGCCAGGCCACGGGCCCCGCACAUCUCAGGCCCUGUGUGAGGGAGCACACUGAGAUGGUGCAGGAGUGAGUGGGCAUGGCUUGGCCUCGCUGCCUCAGGGACCUGUUGGAGUUCUGGCAGCAGGGCAUCUGCAGGUGAGACAGCGUUCUGGGCAGAGUCAGAACGGUCAGAAUGAAAGAGAACAGCUAACUCACCCAGAGGACAGCUUGUUUUGAGGCAGGGUUUUGGAUUUUGGAGGGGGCAGCCAGAUGAGGCAGUGAGCUUCCAGAAGGUCAGCCUUUGGAGCACAUAAGUUAACUGUUAACAGGGUCCAGAAGUUGUGUCCACACGGGGGCUUUGACUCUUCAAACAGCUUUUGCAGAUCGUAAAUUGUGUUUGCCUAGUCAUGUGACCUCAAAAGAAGUCAGACAUAUUUAAUCCAGAAAUAGUUUCGUUUGAGGGAGGGCUUGCAGGUCUGUAAAUAGCAUUUGCUUUCCUGGUUAGAGAUUGGGAUGCAGAAGGAGUUUUCAGUAUUUUUUUUUUUUUUAAACACUAAUCAUUGAAGAGUAUUUAUGUAAACAUAUAAUGUAUAAUGGGUGGGGGAUCCAAUCAGGGUGAUGUACGGGGUGAAUUCUCUUGCCGUGUUGCAAAAUGUGUAAAAUAAAGAUGAUCUGGCAGAA